GCCUGGGUGGCUCAGUCGGUUGAGCGUCUGACUUCGGAUCAGGUCAUGAUCUCACAGUUCGUGCGUUCAAGCCCCGCUUCGGGCU
rnacentral:tRNA from 1 species